UACGUAGGUGGCAAGCGUUGUCCGGAUUUACUGGGCGUAAAGGGCGUGCAGGCGGUUUGUUAAGUGCAGGGUGAAAGCCCCCGGCUCAACUGGGGAGGGUCACUCGAUACUGAUCGACUUGAAGGCAGGAGAGGGAAGCGGAAUUCCCGGUGUAGUGGUGAAAUGCGUAGAUAUCGGGAGGAACACCAGUGGCGAAGGCGGCUUCCUGGCCUGUUCUUGAAGCUGAGGCGCGAAAGCUAGGGGAGCAAACGGG
rnacentral:rRNA from 1 species